CCUGCAGGUAUUGCCGGGCAAAUCUCUGUGAAGUCGCGGCUGGAACUGGACUGAAUAUCCGUCGAAUAUCCAACCUAAAACUAACUUCACCGCGGUCAAUUAACUCCGGAGCAAGAACAAGCUUUGCAGAGUUUUGUUGGUGGCCAUGAGGUUGUGGCGCUUCCCCUAUGCUUCCCCCCACCGGGUUCGGGAAAAGUUUGAUUUCCCAGCUGGCUCCGUUAGUGGUGAAGGAGCCGGUCCCGUCGCAAGACAAUACGUCACGACCAAACGCUAUGCGAUUGGUUAUGGCAGAUCCAGAGUGGCACUGGGCAGAUCCAAUCAUUUUAAAACUUCUUCAGCCACCCGCCUCCAAUUCGCCAAAUCGUUACCUCAAGAAUGGUCCCGAAAUGUAAUCCUACCUCUGGAGUCGGCGGUCACGAGUGGACCUCCAUCUCUCCGAGGAAGCGGCCCGGUGGGUAGGCGGUGCAGCGGCGCUCUCCUCGGAGGGACUGACUCCACUCCACCGUGCCGUGGGACUGGCUCCACUCCACCGUGCCGUGGGACUGGCUCCACUCCACCGUGCCGUGGGACUGGCUCUCCGCGGUCCCCCUGAUGACGCUCAUAUGACCCGUGGCGCCUCCUCCCCCGGCGUCAUGCGCUCUGAGCCUCCGCGGUGCCACAGUAUCAGUGGAGACGUAUCCUGGUGUGGAGGGUUGGGAUGUGUACAAAUGUAACUGUGUGUGGUUGUAUGAGAGAGAGAGCCAUUACCUUUCACAAAAAGAGCUGGCAGGUUGGAGAACUUGACAUUUGACAGACACAUGUCUGAUGUCAGUUAAGAUGCCACUUAAUCAAUAUAUCUCAAUAGUUGUGUUUUCAGACAACGUAAGCCUUAUUUUAUUUUCGCUUGAUAUAAAGCUUUAAAUCAAAAUGCUAAGUUUGGCCCCAAAAGGAUUUUUUUUUUUAAUAAUUAUUACAUUUUACACUUCAUGUGAGAGUAAUUAUACAACAAUAACAAUAGUGUUAUUAAAUAUCACAACAUGCACAGAUUGUUGGCCUCGUUCAAAACAAGAUUAUAUAUAAAACUAAAGCCAAAUUCCAGUCAGCUCCACCUUGGAGCCACAUAGUGGAUACAACAAUUGAUGCAUGGGUCUGCUUCAAAAA